AGUUUGCCAGUAUGUUACCAGUAUACCGUAACUCUUGUGUGUAUUUUAACGGACCGGUGCCCGCUGCUGCACCGUUGUCGAGUUUUUUUUUGUUUCUUUUCGUGUGUGUUUGCGCCUUUUUUUUUUUUUAAUGUUCCCUUAUUUUCUGUCUACAUGCACCUUUUACUAUAUACUAUAUUAAAAAAAAAGGUAUAGUGGAAGCUUAACAUGUGCAACGUAGACACACAGUACAUACACUCCACCCAAAUUACAUGUAAUACCCGCCCUACGGAUCUCGUGGCGUUUCAGAACGGCAGAGGAGGACUAGACGCUCAUUGGAUGGCUAUACCUAACGAAACGAAAUUCUCACAAAUUCGCGUAUCAGUAGAUUAGAGAAAUAUGCAAAUGCCUUGCGACUUUGGUGUAAUAGCGCACUUGCACACACAAUGUAUAGCGGUGUGUAUAAACAAGGCAAGCAAGAGCUUUCGCAUCAACAAUUGUAUACAGUCUUCAACAAUCGAUAAUAACUGGGCCAUUAUCCAAUCAUCUUCUGAAAAUGUUUGUACCUCAAAUCAUCAAAUGAAAUGGCCACUCUUUGGACAUGACAACAACUGAAAAAGCAAUGCAGAUUUGCGUUCGUGCCUGUAGUGUUUUGAUUUGAUCAACUGAACAUGAGGAUGGAGGCAAGCACGUGGUUGACGUCGUGCCGGAGCAUGGCGGGAACUUGGAAAGCCGUUCGAUAGUCGGGAGAUCGAUGCUCUGCUCUCUCUCUCACACACACAUACUCUUCGUUCUCUUAUGCUGUAUGAGUGAGUCUACGCACGAGAGACUUAUACGAAGAGAAGCAUCAGAGUUUCGAUUAUUUUUCGAAGGUCAAGGUGACGCCGCGUCGAUUUCAUCAUCGAUCACGACAACAUACACACCGUGGCGCUUUUAUCAGCCAUGUUUUUCAAUGUGAGUUGUACACGCCCAGUGGAUAACAGACGCUCUAAUGCGCUUCUUAUAUACAGACAAUAAGUCGACUCCAUAUAAUGCCCGUCCUUGUUGUUAUGUACACAACAACGACGUCGAUUGUUUUUAGCAUCAUCGAUCUCCAAUCCGGUUCGAUAUCGACGUGUGGCUCUCCAGUUUGCCCCUCUUUUUUUUGUUUUCAUUCAUUCAAAGCUCCUCAAAUCGCGAAUGUCCAUUUUCAUUGGCUCUAAAUAAAUUGCACAUUUCUUUUUUA